UGUGGGAGCGGGCUUGCUCGCGAAUGCGGUGUGUCAGUCAGCCUUUCUGUGACUGAUAGACCGCAUUCGCGAGCAAGCCCGCUCCCACA
rnacentral:misc_RNA from 2 species